rnacentral:rRNA from 1 species
UACGGAGGAUGCAAGCGUUAUCCGGAAUGAUUGGGCGUAAAGCGUCCGCAGGUGGCAGUUCAAGUCUGCUGUCAAAGACCGGGGCUUAACUUCGGAAAGGCAGUGGAAACUGAACAGCUAGAGUAUGGUAGGGGCAGAGGGAAUUCCUGGUGUAGCGGUGAAAUGCGUAGAGAUCAGGAAGAACAUCGGUGGCGAAGGCGCUCUGCUGGACCAUAACUGACGCUGAGGCACGAAAGCGUGGGGAGCAAACAGG